UAUAUUUGUACAAAAACAAGAACAAAGUUACUCUUUUUAAUUCUUUUUUUUUUACUCAAGUCUGCCAAAAAAAUGACAAAAUACAGCAAAAACUUGAUGCUAUUUAAGGAACUGCUAGUCCUCAUCGUAAUUAUCAGGUAUUCAGCUGGCGAAAGCAACACUGAAGUUCCAUACACAGAGUCUAAAACGACUCUAGAAAACCCAUUCGAAAACGCCUUGGAUGAAAACUUUGACAUUGAGAUUGUGCCAAUUGUUUCAAACUUCAGCUUCACGCUUCCAGAAGAAGAAAGUGGAACUGAGGCUGAAAAAAGCGGCUCUUCAGUUCUCAAUUUAGUUCUGCCAGGAGCAACGAGUAAAAAUGUUUCAGAGAGUGACAUUGAUCAAGAGCACAUAUCAUACGAAAAGAAAUUGAACUCAAGACAGUUGUGGAAGAAACGUUUCAUCGUGUUUAGCGUGCUAAUAUCCACAGCUGCGCUGCUAGUUGUCUAUGUCAAGCUCUCUCCCCAUUUUCAAAGGACAUUUUUCAGUCGUUCCGGUAGAGAAACGAACCCCUUGUCUCUGUCAUCCUCUUCAACUCAAGUGGAUAUCCGAAGUUACGACGACGGAGACGAAAUCAAAAACUAUUUUAUUAUUUGAUGCUUUGUUGUUUUGUGGUUCAGUAAAGUGAAAUUCAGUCAAUCGAUCA